rnacentral:rRNA from 1 species
GACGAACGCUGGCGGCGUGCCUAAUACAUGCAAGUCGAACGAGAGCGACCGGUGCUUGCACUGGUCAAUCUAGUGGCGAACGGGUGAGUAACACGUGGGUAACCUGCCCAUCAGAGGGGGAUAACAUUCGGAAACGGAUGCUAAAACCGCAUAGGUUCUACAGUCGCAUGACUGAAGAAGGAAAAGAGGCUUCGGCUUCUGCUGAUGGAUGGACCCGCGGUGCAUUAGCUAGUUGGUGAGGUAACGGCUCACCAAGGCCGUGAUGCAUAGCCGACCUGAGAGGGUGAUCGGCCACAUUGGGACUGAGACACGGCCCAAACUCCUACGGGAGGCAGCAGUAGGGAAUCUUCCGCAAUGGACGCAAGUCUGACGGAGCAACGCCGCGUGAGUGAAGAAGGAUUUCGGUUCGUAAAACUCUGUUGUUAGAGAAGAACAGCGCAUAGAGUAACUGUUAUGCGUGUGACGGUAUCUAACCAGAAAGCCACGGCUAACUACGUGCCAGCAGCCGCGGUAAUACGUAGGUGGCAAGCGUUGUCCGGAUUUAUUGGGCGUAAAGCGAGCGCAGGCGGUCAAUUAAGUCUGAUGUGAAAGCCCCCGGCUCAACCGGGGAGGGUCAUUGGAAACUGGUUGACUUGAGUGCAGAAGAGGAGAGUGGAAUUCCAUGUGUAGCGGUGAAAUGCGUAGAUAUAUGGAGGAACACCAGUGGCGAAGGCGACUCUCUGGUCUGUAACUGACGCUGAGGCUCGAAAGCGUGGGGUAGCAAACAGG